GAUCCGGGGCGGAUGGGUGAGUAAUGCCUAGGAAUCUGCCUGGUAGUGGGGGACAACGUUUCGAAAGGAACGCUAAUACCGCAUACGUCCUACGGGAGAAAGCAGGGGACCUUCGGGCCUUGCGCUAUCAGAUGAGCCUAGGUCGGAUUAGCUAGUUGGUGGGGUAAUGGCUCACCAAGGCGACGAUCCGUAACUGGUCUGAGAGGAUGAUCAGUCACACUGGAACUGAGACACGGUCCAGACUCCUACGGGAGGCAGCAGUGGGGAAUAUUGGACAAUGGGCGAAAGCCUGAUCCAGCCAUGCCGCGUGUGUGAAGAAGGUCUUCGGAUUGUAAAGCACUUUAAGUUGGGAGGAAGGGCAGUAAGCGAAUACCUUGCUGUUUUGACGUUACCGACAGAAUAAGCACCGGCUAACUCUGUGCCAGCAGCCGCGGUAAUACAGAGGGUGCAAGCGUUAAUCGGAAUUACUGGGCGUAAAGCGCGCGUAGGUGGUUUGUUAAGUUGGAUGUGAAAGCCCCGGGCUCAACCUGGGAACUGCAUCCAAAACUGGCAAGCUAGAGUACGGGUAGAGGGUGGUGGAAUUUCCUGUGUAGCGGUGAAAUGCGUAGAUAUAGGAGGAACACCAGUGGCGAAGGCGACCACCUGGACUGAUACUGACACUGAGGUGCGAAAGCGUGAGGAAGCAAACAAGGAUUAGAUACCCCUGGUAGUCCACGCCGUAAACGAUGUCAACUAGCCGUUGGAAUCCUUGAGAGUUUAGUGGCGCAGCUAA
rnacentral:rRNA from 1 species